UUCCAUAUGUAAAUUCAUAGCAUAAUGAUUAUACUGAAAUACAGGGAAUAAUUGUAGGUAAAUUUUCAUCCAUAUAGUUUGAUUUUAAAGGUUAAUUUCUUUACAGAUGUGCAACUAUUCAUCUUUUUUUUUCCCGUUUUUUCUUUUUUUUCAAAAACUAGGUGGUUUUGGGUUUCUUAUUAAUUUCCGAAGAGGUUUGUAAGAAGUGGCACAUAUUUUUGAAGGCUGUUUUCUUAUGAAGGUCACAUUGGCUGAGAAAGGUACAAUCACCGAGGUAGAGCCUGUUGUCUGUUACAUGAUGAGAAAGUGGGUCAUGAUAAGAAGAAUCUGGAUGAGAAGAAUGGAAUGGAAAACAGAAGCUCUAAGCAACAAGUGGCCUUUUUUUUAUAGGGUACAUUGAAGUCAAUGGAGUUAUGCAAGGCAUGAACUUCACCCUGUAACUUAAAGGCUCUAAACAGACUCUCUAGUCAGUUUUUUACAACCAAAUUACACAAAUGCCCAUCAGUGGAG